UCGUGCCCUUACCCCUCGCGAUCUUUUUCUUCCCUCGCUCACUCCCGCGAGCCGCCGUCGACCUCCGACUGCCGCUCUUCCCUCGUGCGUCGACCUUGUGCUACUUGCAAUUACUCCUUUUUCUUGCUUGCUAACUGAUGGUUCCCUGAACCCUUGAUUCUUCGCGGAUUGGGCAUCGAAUCGUGGUUGUGCAGCGAAUCCUGCAUGGAAUAGUAGUGCGGUUUUUGCUUUGAGCAGCAAUCAAUAGCUUCAAAAGGGGAGGGAAUUUCCAAAGACUCAAACGUGAUUAAGAGGGAAUGACCUCUCUCCCAAGGAAAGUAGAAGAUUAGUAAACUCAGCUUCUGAUUCAGCCAAUGCCUGAUGCAGCCGAACUCUCAAGAUAUUAGCACUGUCAACUUUUCUCCUAUAGAUAUCUAUGCAUUCCUGUUCCAGUUCUAGUAGAAUUCUCUCUCUUUCUAGUUGAUCUUGUCCCACUUCAUCCCAAAUCAGCUGUAGUUUUAUGGGAAGCCCAGAGACACUUUAGUAGGAAUCAGAUUCAAGAAUGAUGAAUCUAACAGAAAGCACAUACCUUCAGCUCUUGGAGUAAAUAUCCACAAGAUGAUUCAGGAAUUGCUGAACUUGAAAAACUAGGAAGAGUUCCAAAAGAUCCCAUCUUGCAAAUGUUCAGCGUAUCAGAGAAAGAUCUUGUGAAGACGAGUACCUCAAGUGUGAAGGACAGAGCAGCCUUCUCUAAUCAAGCGUUAUGAAUAUCUGAGGCAGAAAUGAGAACUCUGGAUGGAAGAAAAAGAGAACAGUGGCAAGGAUGUGGAUGGAUGGUGAAAUUGGAUUUGCUUAUUGGUUUUGCUUUGAAGACAAGCAGCAUAACUGGUAGUUGCUUUGAUGAGCUUGGGGAAAGGUUGAAGCUUAAAGAAGAAGACGGGUCCAACCUAUUUUCAAUUGAGUAUAUGGAAAGGGUGGGGCAUCCUAUUGUUCGAUUACAUGGAAUAGCCCUAUCAAGUUCAUGCACUCUUUUACUUCAAGGAGAGCCAUUUUUCAAUCAUUGUGAUCUUUGGAAAGUAAUUGAAAUUCGAAAAGUUUGUUGCAUGCAAGCAAGAAAUUGCAGUCUGAUCACAAUCCAGUUGAUGUGAUGUUUGAUGUCGUCUUCAUGUAGGGUGUGGUCUUGCUUUCAUGUGGGGGUAAGAGAUGCUUGAAAAUGAAAAGUUUAUAGAAAACACAUAGAUUGUACGGUCAUUCAAUGGAUGUAUAGUCGGUGUAAAUUGGAUACUGGUGUCAAUUAAAAAAAAAUAAAAAGAGAGAGAGAGAGAAGAGGUUGACCUCUCUGUUUCCCUUAUGGUUCAAUUCUUUUCUCUCUCUAAAGCUCCUUUCUUCUCUGUUCACAAAGAUGAAAUGUAGGAUUAGUACAAAUAGUUGUUAAUUCUUUGCAGUAGAAAGGAUUUUAUGACUAUUAAAUAUAAUAGAAAAAGAUCUUUU